AACCAAUUGUCACCGGAUCCAAAGCAUAAAAAGUGAGCGCGGAGCAGAACUCGGAGCAGCUCCUGUUCCGGGAACAGCCCGACGCUGAGAACUCUCCUAGUCCGCAGUGGACGGAGUGAAUCCAAAUGUUGGUGACCAGAGCAGAUUCCCGAAGGAAGCAACAUGACCCGGCCAGGUAAAUCCAUUCCUGAAGAAGGGCUCAUGCCUGAAACAUCGAAUCUCCUGCUCCUUGGAUGCUGCCUGACCUGCUGCGCUUUUCCAGCAACACAUUUUCAGCACGAAACGGACAUUAUUAGAGAAUGGGAAACCAAUUGGACACCAAGAACAAACGGGGAGCAAGAGAGAGAGGGAAAGCUGCAGGAAAGGACAUGAGUGAAUCAGGACACCGUAUUUCUCACUAAGGAUCACCUCACAAAGACUUGGACAGACGAACGAUGGAAUUGAAACUGUCAGAGCAAUAUAGCUCCCACACUUGGAGUUGAUGCUGAUUCUCAGUAUUUAAAGUGACAAAGCUUGUUUAUCAUCAUAUAUUACUAAUACAAUGUGUUUGCAAAUUGGAUAAACCAUUUAUCAAUGA